UACGAAGGGGGCUAGCGUUGCUCGGAAUCACUGGGCGUAAAGCGCACGUAGGCGGAUUGUUAAGUCAGGGGUGAAAUCCUGGAGCUCAACUCCAGAACUGCCUUUGAUACUGGCGAUCUUGAGUCUGGGAGAGGUGAGUGGAACUGCGAGUGUAGAGGUGAAAUUCGUAGAUAUUCGCAAGAACACCAGUGGCGAAGGCGGCUCACUGGCCCGGUACUGACGCUGAGGUGCGAAAGCGUGGGGAGCAAACAGG
rnacentral:rRNA from 1 species